rnacentral:rRNA from 1 species
UACGUAGGGUCCGAGCGUUGUCCGGAAUUACUGGGCGUAAAGAGCUCGUAGGCGGUUCGUCGCGUCGGCUGUGAAAUCCCGAGGCUCAACCUCGGGUCUGCAGUCGAUACGGGCGGACUGGAGUUCGGCAGGGGAGACUGGAAUUCCUGGUGUAGCGGUGAAAUGCGCAGAUAUCAGGAGGAACACCAACGGUGAAGGCAGCACUCUGGGCCGGUACUGACGCUGAGGAGCGAAAGCGUGGGGAGCAAACAGG